UUUUUUUUGGGGGGGGGCAGGGGGUGCCUGAGGCAUGUGGAAGUUCCAGGGCCAGGGAUGAUCCCCAGUCACAGCUGUAACCUGAGCCACAGCAGUGACAAUUCCAAGUCCUUAAUCACUAGGCAACCAGGGAACUCCACAAUAGAAAUUAUUUUCUCACAGUUCUAGAGGCGGCAAGACCAAGAUCAAGGUGUCUGGUUUGGUUUCUCCUAAGCCCUCUUGCUUUGACAUGCAGAUAACUUUUUUUUUUUUUUUUUGUCUUUUUAGGGCUGCACCCACAGUAUAUGGAAGUUGCCAGGCUAGGGGUUGAACUGGAGCUGCAGCUGCCGGCCUAUACCACAGCCACAGCAAUGUGGGAUCCGAGCUCCGUGUCUGCAACCUAUACCACAGCUUACAGCAAUGCCGGAUCCUUAACGCACUGAGCAAGGCGAGGGAUCAAACUCGCAUCCUCACAAGUACUAUUCAGAUUUGUUUCCCCUGAGCCACGAUGAGAACUCCUAUAAAUAAGUUCUUUUGUAUCAUUUUUAUUAGAUUCCACAUAUAUGAUAUUUAUCUUUCUCUAUCUGACUUACUUAGUAUGAUAAUCUGUAGGUCCAACCAUGUUACUGCUCUUAUUGUUGAGUUGUAAGAGUUCUUUACAUAUUCCAAGUACAACCUUUUUUUUUUUGGCUAUGCUGUGUAUUGGCUUAAUGUGGGAUCCUGGGGGCCUCAGCUCAGCAGUGAAAGCACCAAGUCCUAAAGUGCCUAGACCACCAGGUUAUUAUGCUUUAAUAACCAAUUAAAGCAUAUAACUCUUUAAUUGGUUAUAUGCUUUGCAAAUAUUUUUCUCCCAGUCUUUUUUUUUUUUUUUUGGUUUUUUUGUCUUUUUAAGGCCGAACCAGCAGCAUAUGGAGGUUCCCAGGCUAGGGGUUGAAUCAGAGCCGUAGCUACCGGCCUACACCAUAGCCACGCCAACCCAGGAUCUGAGCCACAUCUGCAACAUACACCACAGCUCAUGGCAAUGCCAGAUCUUUAACCCACUGAACCAGGCCAGGGAUCAAACCCACAACCUCAUGGUUCCCAGUCAGAUUCAUUAACCACUGAGCCACGACGGGAACUCCCAGGCUGUCACUUUUCAUUCUCCUAAUAAUGUCUUUCAUAGAGCAGAAAUUUUUCAUUUUCCUUAAGUCUUGUUUAUCAGAUUUUCUUUCCCUUUUUUUUUUUUU
rnacentral:lncRNA from 1 species